rnacentral:rRNA from 1 species
UGAAUUGACGGGGAGCACUACAACGGGUGGAGCCUGCGGUUUAAUUGGACUCAACGCCGGAAAACUCACCGGGGCGACAGCAAUAUGUAGGUCAAGCUAAAGACUUUACCAGAAUCGCUGAGAGGAGGUGCAUGGCCGUCGUCAGUUCGUACUGUGAAGCAUCCUGUUAAGUCAGGCAACGAGCGAGACCCGUGCCCACUGUUGCCAGCAUGUCCUUCGGGAUGAUGGGUACUCUGUGGGACCGCCGAUGCUAAAUCGGAGGAAGGUGCGGGCUACGGUAGGUCAGUAUGCCCCGAAUCUCCCGGGCUACACGCGGGCUACAAUGACUGGGACAAUGGGCUCCUACCCCGAAAGGGGAUGGUAAUCUCAUAAACCCAGCCUUAGUUCGGAUCGAGGGCUGUAACCCGCCCUCGUGAAGCUGGAAUCCGUAGUAAUCGCGUUUCAACAUAGCGCGGUGAAUACGUCCCUGCUCCUU